UACGAAGGGGGCUAGCGUUGUUCGGAUUUACUGGGCGUAAAGCGCACGUAGGCGGAUCUUUAAGUCAGAGGUGAAAUCCCAAGGCUCAACCUUGGAACUGCCUUUGAUACUGGGGAUCUUGAGUCCGGGAGAGGUGAGUGGAACUGCGAGUGUAGAGGUGAAAUUCGUAGAUAUUCGCAAGAACACCAGUGGCGAAGGCGGCUCACUGGCCCGGUACUGACG
rnacentral:rRNA from 1 species